AUGAUAUUUCUCAUCUGCUUGAAACCUGGCCAGAUUAGGAAGCCAAGGCAAGAAGAGUGGAGGAGGAGGGGAGCUGGUGGAACCCAGUGGAAGUCUCCUGGGCAGUUUGAUCACACUUUCUCCUUGUCCUCCUGUCUCCUCCUCGGUGCAGAGAUUGUGGGCAGACUAUGUAAUUGCUGAAGAGGGGGAAGAGGAGGGAUUGGCGCUCUCCUGCAGCACCCAGCAAGGUGCAGCAACUUGGCUAGGUGGAGUUUCACUGCAGCUGCUCCCAGUUUGCUCCGGAGGGCUAGGAGGUCAGUCCAUCUAGCCUGGUGGCCAGUACAACUCCGGGAGUCCCUGAGGCAUGUAAGGCAGCAAGUGCGCACCCCGGUUCCACUGUGCCACGCCGACAGCUUGCAGCCAGCAUGGAGAAGGACAGCCUGAGUCACACUGAUCAGCAGUAUGAGUGCAUGGCAGAGACUGGAGAAGGCGCCUGCCUACAGGAAGGUGUUCAAGGCCUGCAACCUGAAGAAUGGCAGCCCCUUCCUGACUCUGAAGCACUUGGGAGUGCAGACCAGUGAGGAGGGCAUGCUGCUCUCCACCAUCCACGAGGUGGCGGUGCUGAGGCACCUGGAGAAUUCCAGCACUGGAUCAUGGUCAGUUGAGCCAGGAGCACUGGCUAUGGGGUCCAGGAAGGUGCUGGGCAAGGGCGGCUGGUGGCCAAACUAAAGUUAAGAG